ensembl:rRNA 5S_rRNA 5S ribosomal RNA
UGCCACAGCCAUAUCACCCUGCAACCCCAGACUGGUUGCCCACUGAAGCUAAGCAGGGUUGAGCCUGGUCAGUACCUGCAUGGGAGACCUCCUGGGAAAACUAGAUUGCUGUUGGAA